rnacentral:rRNA from 1 species
AUGCUGCUCAUUGAGAAGGCCUGGGAUCGUAUCUAUCCCAAGGUGGUGCUGGAGCUUGGAGACUUGGUUUCUCAUGAUGUCAAGAGUCUGAGGAAGAAGGAUAACUGGGGCACUCAGGCCCCUAGGACUGGAGUUCCUUCAUCUGCUGCUGCCAUGGAGACUGAGGAGGAGUUUGGGGCUGAGGCUGAGGAUGAAGAUGAUGACUACGUGCCUUCUGAGAAGCUGUUCUGCAUGGAAUCUCACGGUCAGUACAUGACUCAUGUGGCUGAGAAGAAGGCUCGAGGUCGCCACAAGGAGCUCAUGCAUCAUAUGGGUGCUAUUGUGAUUAGUGGUUCUGAGGAUCAGCUUACUGAGGAGGAGGAGUGGAUUCAGCAGCACUGCCCCUAG